UCCGCAAUGGGCGAAAGCCUGACGGAGCAACGCCGCGUGAGGGACGAAGGCCUCUGGGCUGUAAACCUCUUUUCUCAAGGAAGAAGAUAUGACGGUACUUGAGGAAUAAGCCACGGCUAAUUCCGUGCCAGCAGCCGCGGUAAUACGGGAGUGGCAAGCGUUAUCCGGAAUUAUUGGGCGUAAAGCGUCCGCAGGCGGCUUUUCAAGUCUGCUGUUAAAGCGUGGAGCUUAACUCCAUCAUGGCAGUGGAAACUGAAAGGCUUGAGUAUGGUAGGGGCAGAGGGAAUUCCCGGUGUAGCGGUGAAAUGCGUAGAUAUCGGGAAGAACACCAGUGGCGAAGGCGCUCUGCUGGGCCAUUACUGACGCUCAUGGACGAAAGCCAGGGGAGCGAAAGGGAUUAGAUACCCCUGUAGUCCUGGCCGUAAACGAUGAACACUAGGUGUCGGGGGAAUCGACCCCUUCGGUGUCGUAGCUAACGCGUUAAGUGUUCCGCCUGGGGAGUACGCACGCAAGUGUGAAACUCAAAGGAAUUGACGGGGGCCCGCACAAGCGGUGGAGUAUGUGGUUUAAUUCGAUGCAACGCGAAGAACCUUACCAGGGUUUGACAUCCUGCGAACCUCUUAGAAAUUUGAGGGUGCCUUCGGGAAUGCAGUGACAGGUGGUGCAUGGCUGUCGUCAGCUCGUGUCGUGAGAUGUUGGGUUAAGUCCCGCAACGAGCGCAACCCACGUUUUUAGUUGCCAGCAUUUAGUUGGGCACUCUAGAAAGACCGCCGGUGAUAAACCGGAGGAAGGUGUGGAUGACGUCAAGUCAUCAUGCCCCUUACACCCUGGGCUACACACGUACUACAAUGCUACGGACAAAGGGCAGCAAACUCGCGAGAGCUAGCAAAUCCCAUAAACCGUGGCUCAGUUCAGAUCGUAGGCUGCAACUCGCCUACGUGAAGUAGGAAUCGCUAGUAAUCGCAGGUCAGCAUACUGCGGUGAAUACGUUCCCGGGCCUUGUACACACCGCCCGUCACACCAUGGAAGUUGGCCAUGCCCGAAGUCGUUACUCCAACCCUUGUGGAGGAGGACGCCGAAGCUGGGGCUAAUGACUGGGGUGAAGUCGUAACAAGGUAGCCGUACCGGAAGGUGCGGCUG
rnacentral:rRNA from 1 species